AUACGAAGGGUGCAAGCGUUACUCGGAAUUACUGGGCGUAAAGCGUGCGUAGGUGGUUGUUUAAGUCUGUCGUGAAAGCCCUGGGCUCAACCUGGGAAUGGCGAUGGAAACUGGGCGACUAGAGUGUGGCAGAGGGUAAUGGAAUUCCUGGUGUAGCAGUGAAAUGCGUAGAGAUCAGGAGGAACAUCCGUGGCGAAGGCGACUGCCUGGGCCAACACUGACACUGAGGCACGAAAGCGUGGGGAGCAAACAGGAUUAGAUACCCUGGUAGUCCACGCCCUAAACGAUGCGAACUGGAUGUUGGGUGCAAUUUGGCACGCAGUAUCGAAGCUAACGCGUUAAGUUCGCCGCCUGGGGAGUACGGUCGCAAGACUGAAACUCAAAUGAAUUGACGGGG
rnacentral:rRNA from 1 species